GGCUCUUCCAAGGUUCUGGAGUACAGAGGGGUACUGGGGGGGGGGGUUGGUUGGGAGACAGGGCUAGAAGAACCUCAAUGUUCUUGUCAGAUAAGUAGGGAUACGAAUGUCUCCCCGGUGUAGACUGGCCUGAGCCUCCAUAUCAGAGUCUCCCCCGCCACACACACACACUAGCUAUACUCUGAAUUAGAUAAGACUGACCAGAGAGAGAUCACCCAGGCCAGAACUGAGCACAGCAGGUCCCCUUGGCAGCAGGUCUUUAGGACAGAACUGGUCAGAGUGGAACCUGCCUUCAGGCUACCUGUCCUCCCUCUGGUCUCCUUUGUCUUUUUUCCUUUGCUGCUAACCCAGCUCAGAAACAUGGGCAGAGCAUGCGGCUCUAGAGUUGUGUUCUGUCGCCCCCACCCCACCCCAUCUCUCUCUUGCAGGGUCUCAUGUAGCCCAGGCUAAUCUCAAAACCACUAAGUAGCCAAGGACAAUGAACUUCUGAUCUUACUGCUUAGACCAUGGAGUUCUGUGGCUGCAGGUGUAUACCAUCUCAAAAGGAAGUACCUGGACCCAGGCCACUGCUCCCCUUAGCUGCUCCUGGUGUUCCCAGGCAAGAGAAGAGAGAUUCUGCUAAAGGCUUUCCCACCCUUCCACAUAGCUGGCAUUCCAUCCAGGCAUCCCAGGACCCCACCCUGGAGAGAAAGAAGGCAGUCUGGGAGAAAGCAGCGUACAGAUGGAAAUCGCCACAUCCAGAGACUUCAAGGCCCUUGAGACUGUGA
rnacentral:lncRNA from 1 species